AUGAACGCUGGCGGCGUGCCUAAUACAUGCAAGUCGAGCGAACAGACGAGGAGCUUGCUCCUCUGACGUUAGCGGCGGCCGGGUGAGUAACACGUGGAUAACCUACCUAUAAGACUGGGAUAACUUCGGGAAACCGGAGCUAAUACCGGAUAAUAUAUUGAACCGCAUGGUUCAAUAGUGAAAGACGGUUUUGCUGUCACUUAUAGAUGGAUCCGCGUCGCAUUAGCUAGUUGGUAAGGUAACGGCUUACCAAGGCAACGAUGCGUAGCCGACCUGAGAGGGUGAUCGGCCACACUGGAACUGAGACACGGUCCAGACUCCUACGGGAGGCAGCAGUAGGGAAUCUUCCGCAAUGGGCGAAAGCCUGACGGAGCAACGCCGCGUGAGUGAUGAAGGUCUUCGGAUCGUAAAACUCUGUUAUUAGGGAAGAACAAAUGUGUAAGUAACUAUGCACGUCUUGACGGUACCUAAUCAGAAAGCCACGGCUAACUACGUG
rnacentral:rRNA from 1 species